rnacentral:rRNA from 1 species
AUUGAACGCCGGCGGCAGGCCUAACACAUGCAAGUCGAGCGGAGUUUUCGGACCUAGCGGCGGACGGGUGAGUAAUGCGUAGGAAGCUGCCCGAUAGAGGGGGAUACCAGUUGGAAACGACUGUUAAUACCGCAUAAUGUCUACGGACCAAAGUGUGGGACCUUCGGGCCACAUGCUAUCGGAUGCGCCUACGUGGGAUUAGCUAGUUGGUGAGGUAAUGGCUCACCAAGGCGACGAUCUCUAGCUGGUUUGAGAGGAUGAUCAGCCACACUGGAACUGAGACACGGUCCAGACUCCUACGGGAGGCAGCAGUGGGGAAUAUUGGACAAUGGGCGCAAGCCUGAUCCAGCCAUGCCGCGUGUGUGAAGAAGGCCUUCGGGUUGUAAAGCACUUUCAGCGAGGAGGAAGGGGUGUGUGUUAAUAGUACACACCUUUGACGUUACUCGCAGAAGAAGCACCGGCUAACUCUGUGCCAGCCGCCGCGGUAAUAC